CUGACCCAGAUCUAAAUAGUUCUGUCUUAAAUAGUAAAAGAGUAUUUUGUAUUAAUUGUUUUAGUGCAAAAGGGUUGGCUCUACACACAGUAGCCUAUUAUAUUCUCUAAAGGAACAUUUUAUUGCAAAUUUCUUCAUGAAUGCAUUAUAUUGAAUUAACUGACCAUCUUCAUCUAUCAAAUUGACAACAUAACUUUUUUCUCUCAAACCAUUCUUGUUUAAAUAGCGUCUUCCUAUUUAUUGUAAUAAUUCUAUUAUUCCACAAGGUGGACCCAUGUGGUGUAAAGUUGUGGGUAAAUAUAAUUUUCCAGUAAUGCAAUAUCUGCUUGUGGAUCUUUGAAAGCUUAACUGCCCUUCUGCGUCAUCAUCACGUGCCCACACGAAGGCGCCAUCAUCAUGCAAUGAACCUGUGCAAAGGAUCAUGGGAGCCCGAAGUGUCCAUCAUUUGUACCCUUCAAAAUCCUAAUUCCUCAUCCCGAAGGGCCCUUUAUUGCGAGCGGUCUUUAUGAGUUUGAGUCACUGAAUCAUUCACUCAAAUGAUUCAUUCAAAAUACACUGAUUCAAUUUACUGGUUCAAAACAGUAAAACUGACUGUGUGAUUCAACGGUCCAGCCUUGCUUCUUUAUUUUCAUUGGUGCGGCUACAGGACAAAGUAACCGGCGAUAUUGUGUCUAAAAUGAGCAGAAGGGGCGUUUGGACCUACUGCCAGCAGGCUGUAACAGACAGAUGGAUUUUCACACAAACAACAGAAAACAUCAAGAGCAGUGAAGCUGGCACACACAGAAGAAGAAGUAGCAAAGGGGAGAAAGUCUGGAUAAUGAGGCACUGCUAGCAGGAGAUGAUAAUUCACUUUGUGCUGUGAGAAGACAAACUGUCCUCUCUGUGUAGAGUUCAACUCCAUAGCUGCAAAGCCAUAUGGUGGGUUCACUAAUAAAAUUUAGUGAAAUGUCUUAAUUGUACCUAUGAGCACCAUAAGGUGUAUAUAAAUAUGUAUAGUGGUUUAAAGAAAAUAACAGUUAAAAUUAAAAAAUGAAUAAAAUCACAGUGCAGCAGCGACAUAUAUUUUCUUCUGUAUUGCAGAUCAAACAGAUUAUUGAAAAAGAAAAAUACUUGUAGGGCAGAGGCUUGGUUUUAUUCUUCAGUUACUGAUUGGAUGGAGGCAGAUCUGAAUGUGAGCUUGCAGUAAAUCAUUACAUGGGCAGAGUUUAAUGAAUGAAUUGUUCACAAAAGGAUUAAUAACUAGCAUUCAUAAAAUAGAUUUAUUUCAUGCCACCAAAUUGUUGGUCACUUGACAAUCUUGUUAUCGCAAAUAAAUCUCAUUGGCUCUAUUUUUCAUUUUUACAAGAACCUUCAGUAGAGACUUAUAUUGUUAUUCACGGUUUUAGGAUAUUCUGUACACAAUAUAUGAUCUGACUGAAGUGAAAUAUAAUAACCAGCAGAUGGCGGGCAAGCGUCAGAAUCCUUUUGAUAUCAGAACCACACAUCAAUGAAGUUUUGCAAGCAAAGGACAUACCAAGUAAGUACUGACAUCCAAAUAUGCAGCACAAAUGUCAUUUUCAGUCCCUAACAAAAAUAAUGUGGUGAUACCAUGUGAUGGCAUUAGAUAGUGAUGCUGUGGUACUAUCAUACAGCCUGACAUUUAUAUGGCACAUGCACAGAAAAUGAUGGCAUUACCGUAACCCUAACCCUUUACUAAUAAGUUGUUUAAAUAACACUUGUAAAAUGAGAAGUGUCGGGAGGCCUCUGGGAGCAGGAU
ensembl:lncRNA